rnacentral:lncRNA from 1 species
AAGAAAACAGGAAAAAUUGCAGGAAAUUACUGAUGUUCACUACGCUGGGGGCGUAGCCCAUCACGCGCCGCGUGAUGGAGAUCACAGGGAGCCAAGUUUUCACUCUGAUCACGCGCGGCGUGACACCUGACCACGCGCAGCGUGAAGCCUUGUUCAGGAGUUGGUUUGCUCUCUGACUUGAUCACGCGCCGCGUGAUACCGUUACCACGCGCGGCGUAGUUGAUGGAUUUGCAACCACGCGCGACGUGAUAUAUCUGACGCGCGGCGUGGUUGCAAUGUUAUAUAAGGAAUUCUGUUUUUCUGAAAAAGGGUUGGAAAAUUUGGGAAUCUGAUCUUGAUCUUGGGAGUUCCAGGCACGAUUUGAAGACUGAUCCUGUGUUCCAUAGGCUAAAGGUGGCGAGAUUGGAAGCAUUCAACAUCAUGGGAGUGGAUUCCUUGAAGUUGGAGCAAGAAUUGAGCUACUUCACGAUGAGAGGCUAGACCUCCAUUGAGGUUGGAUCCUGAUGAGGAACUAAACUAAUGUAUUCCAUGUAAUUCAAUUGUAUCUGUAUUGAAUCUCUCUUUUAUGAAUGUUAUUCAAUGAAGUUCUGUCCUUAAUGCUUU